rnacentral:rRNA from 1 species
GACGAACGCUGGCGGCGUGCUUAACACAUGCAAGUCGAACGGACAGGCCCUGCUUUUGUGGGGUGCUCGAGUGGCGAACGGGUGAGUAACACGUGAGUAACCUGCCCUUGACUUUGGGAUAACAUCAGGAAACUGGGGCUAAUACCGGAUAGGAGAUCCUGCUCCACGGUGGGGGUUGGAAAGUUUCGGCGGUUGGGGAUGGACUCGCGGCUUAUCAGCUUGUUGGUGGGGUAGUGGCUUACCAAGGCUUUGACGGGUAGCCGGCCUGAGAGGGUGACCGGGCACAAGGGUACUGCGAUAGGGCCCAGACUGCUACGGGAGGCAGUAGGGGGGAAUAUGGCGGAGUGGGCGGAAGCCUGAGGCAGCAACGCCGCGUGCGGGAUGACGGCCUUCGAGUUGUGAACCGAUGUGGACGGUAACGAGGCGUGAGUGACGGUAAUUGGUAAAGAAGCACCGGCUAACUACGUG